rnacentral:rRNA from 1 species
CCCUUCAGAGGGGGACAACAGUUGGAAACGACUGCUAAUACCGCAUACGAUCUAAUCUCGGCAUCGAGGAUAGAUGAAAGGUGGCCUCUACAUGUAAGCUAUCACUGAAGGAGGGGAUUGCGUCUGAUUAGCUAGUUGGAGGGGUAACGGGCCCACCAAGGCGAUGAUCAGUAGCCGGUCUGAGAGGAUGAACGGCCACAUUGGGACUGAGACACGGCCCAGACUCCUACGGGAGGCAGCAUG